AACGAACGCUGGCGGCAGGCUUAACACAUGCAAGUCGAGCGCAUCCUUCGGGGUGAGUGGCAGACGGGUGAGUAACGCGUGGGAAUCUACCUCUUGCUACGGGAUAGCUCCGGGAAACUGGAAUUAAUACCGUAUGUGGCCUAUGGGCGAAAGAUUUAUCGGCAAGGGAUGAGCCCGCGUUGGAUUAGCUAGUUGGUGGGGUAAAGGCCUACCAAGGCGACGAUCCAUAGCUGGUCUGAGAGGAUGAUCAGCCACAUUGGGACUGAGACACGGCCCAAACUCCUACGGGCGGCAGCAGUGGGGAAUAUUGGACAAUGGGCGCAAGCCUGAUCCAGCCAUGCCGCGUGAGUGAUGAAGGUCUUAGGAUUGUAAAGCUCUUUCACCGGGGACGAUAAUGACGGUACCCGGAGAAGAAGCCCCGGCUAACUUCGUGCCAGCCGCCGCCGUAA
rnacentral:rRNA from 1 species